rnacentral:rRNA from 1 species
UACGAAGGGGGCUAGCGUUGUUCGGAAUUACUGGGCGUAAAGCGCACGUAGGCGGAUACUUAAGUUAGGGGUGAAAUCCCAGAGCUCAACUCUGGAACUGCCUUUAAUACUGGGUAUCUCGAGUCCGAGAGAGGUGAGUGGAAUUCCGAGUGUAGAGGUGAAAUUCGUAGAUAUUCGCAAGAACACCAGUGGCGAAGGCGGCUCACUGGUCCGGUACUGACGCUGAGGUGCGAAAGCGUGGGGAGCAAACAGG